GUGUAGCCCUGAUGAGAGAGAUAGUUCCCAUUAUGACCUGGGCUCAGAAUCAUGUGGAAGGCCUGUGUGCCAUCUAUCUCCCAGGGAAGGAGAAUGUAAUAGCGGAUUUCCUCAGCAGACAUCGGAUAGAGGCUUCAGAAUGGCAACUUUCCAGGAGGAUCUUCGCUCGGUUGGUCCAGAAGUGGGGUCUUCCCCAAGUAGACCUCAUGGCGACCUUUCGGAAUGCGCAGGUUCCAUGCUUUGUGUCAAGGAGAUACCAUCCAAAGGCGGUUGCUCAGGAUGCUCUAUCCAUCAAUUGGGUAUUCGAUCUGGCUUACGUUUUUCCUCCAAUUCCCCUCAUCCACGCUGUUCUGAGAAAGAUCUCCAAGGAACAUUGCAAGGUGAUAGCUGUACUUCCAUUCUGGCCUCG